GAAUUUUGGACAAUGGGGGCAACCCUGAUCCAGCCAUCCCGCGUGUGCGAUGAAGGCCUUCGGGUUGUAAAGCACUUUUGGCAGGGAAGAAAAGGCUCUGGCCAAUAACUGGAGCUGCUGACGGUACCUGCAGAAUACGCACCGGCUACAUACGUGCCAGCAGACGCGGUAAUACGUAGGGUGCAAGCGUUAAUCGGAAUUACUGGGCGUAAAGCGUGCGCAGGCGGUGUGGCAAGAAGGAUGUGAAAUCCCAGGGCUUAACCUUGGAACUGCAUUCUUAAAUGCCAGGCUAGAGUAUGUCAGAGGGGGGUAGAAUUCCACGUGUAGCAGUGAAAUGCGUAGAGAUGUGGAGGAAUACCGAUGGCGAAGGCAGCCCCCUGGGAUAAUACUGACGCUCAUGCACGAAAGCGUGGGGAGCAAACA
rnacentral:rRNA from 1 species